GACGAACGCUGGCGGCGUGCUUAACACAUGCAAGUCGAACGGACAGGCCCUGCUUUUGUGGGGUGCUCGAGUGGCGAACGGGUGAGUAAAACGUGAGUAACCUGCCCUUGUCUUUGGGAUAACUUCAGGAAACUGGGGAUAAUACCGCAUAGGAGCUCCUGCUGCAUGGUGGGGGAUGGAAAGAUUCGGCGGUUGGGGAUGGACUCGCGGCUUAUCAGCUUGUUUGUGGGGUAGUGGCUUACCAAGGCUUUGACGGGUAGCCGGCCUGGGAGGGUGACCGGCCACAUUGGGACUGAGAUACGGCCCAGACGCCUACGGGAGGCAGCAGGGGGGAAUAUUGCACAGUGGGCGGAAGCCUGAUGCAGCAACGCCGCGUGCGGGAUGACGGCCUUCGGGGUGUAAACCGCUUUCGCCUGUGACGAAGCGUGAGUGACGGUAAUGGGUAAAGAAGCACCGGCUAACUACGUG
rnacentral:rRNA from 1 species